UCAGGCGGCUGGAACGUGACAGCGCCGGGCCUCAGUGGGCGGCCGGUGGGGGUCGCCCUGUCUCCCCGCAUGGGGGCAAGCAUCAAGGCUGUAUGCUAAGGAGAACCACAUGCAACCCCCACCCCCCGGGGAUCUGGGACCUCCCCCUCUUGGGAGACAUGCCUGGGGUCCCUGAGCGUACACUCCCAAGCCAGGAUGCCUGCUGAAGCCAGUGUCCCAGACACCAGGAGCCUAUGCCCCAAGGUGGAGGGAGGACCAAAACAGGCAUAGAGACCACCCCUCCUAGAGUCCAGACCCAGUGCAGCCGCCAGUCCUCCACCUGAUUUUCAUAGCCACCAGCGACAGUGCAAGGGCUUUCAUAAAAAACACAGCCCACUCACUCCAUUUGUGAUCACUUUGACCUCCGCAAAGAGGGUUGGGGCUCUGUGUGCCCCUUUGACUGAUGGGCGGCCGGGGCCACCGUCAUCCAACACAGCCUGGGCCCAGCACCCUCACUCAGUAUGGCCAGUCCCCUUGGUGCUGGGCAGGCAAGAGGAUGUCAGGGUCCUGGAAGCCACCCAGUCCAAGGCAGUGGAACCAACCUGGCCCCAGCUCUGUCACCUCCAGCUCCCCGCCUACAUACACCUCCAGAUGGCCAGCCAAGACUCCCUCUCUUGUGGACUUGACUCUGCAGGGGAAGUAUGAGGGGGCUUAGGGGCCUUCAGAACUAAGCCUUAUCUUGGCUCCUGCAGCACCACUGGGACCUCUUGGUGCCUACAGGGGGCUCCACAGGGGGAUGGAGUCAAGCCCAGCUGUAGUAGGACGCAUGGAUCUCUUUUUUACACCAACUGGAUCUCUUUUCUCUGGGUCUGCAGAAGAGCCUCAGUCCCCAGCCACCCUCGGAAGCCCACCUGGUGCUGCACAUACCUCCUAUGGUACUAUCCCCCUGUUGUCCCUGAGCUUGGCAUGGUGCCCAGCCCAGAGCAGACCUCAAAAAGGAUGUCAGAGCCACACAGGGGCAGUCCCCUCUCCCCAUCAGACCCAGAGCCCCUGAGUGACCUAUCUCCCAGAGCCUCUGCCACCUCCUCUUCCAGCCUCCUGGAGGCAGCCAAUUCCCGGGCCUUGCCCUCCCUGGCAACUGACAGAGGCCACAAAGCAGGGUGGGGAGGCCACCACAACCCCGGCUCCGAGGCCUACGGAAGUGGGCUUUCUGCUCCUCAGCCCAGCUGGAGGUCAGGGGGACCACCCCACCCACUGCCCCCCCAGCUCCACUGGAGAGGAGGGCAGAGCUGGGGGUUAACCCCAGGGCAGGGGUACAGAAACCCCUUGAGCCAGGCUCUGCAGGUUACCCUGGCGGGGCUGGAUGGCCACCCUCCCGGCUCUGCACACCCCCAGGUUCAGGAGUAGCCCAUCCCGCCCUGGGCAGCCCAAGUCCCCUGACUCACAUCUGGCCACCCAGCCUAACUGCCCAUCUUCCCAGUCUCUUCCAAAGCCCUUGGUCCCUCCCACCUCCAGCAUCCCUCUAUGGCAGCUCUUGACAUUAGGUGGUGCCCCACCAGGCACCAGGGGCUCAAUUCCAAAGGGAUGGGAAAGAGGAGAUGAGAAGGUGGGGGGAAGUGAAGGGUGAGAAGAGGGUGCCCAGGAGGAGGUGGGGCCUCUGGGGCUUACAGACCCUGCCUUGUAGGCAAAGGCGGAGCUGAGACUUCAGGCCCCACCCACUGCUGGAGCACUGUCCUUUAUUACCCUGAAUGCACCCACACACACGCAGGGACAUCUAGGCUCUGGCAAGCCCGGCUGGCCUCACCUAACAAGUGCCCUUUGCUACCCUGUUGGGGGCAGGGAGGCCCGCCCUCUGCCGCAGACUGCUGCUCCCGUGCCCCCACCAGCGGGGUGGACUUGGAGCUGCAUGUGUCCCUGACGUCUUGUAGCCCCUGGAUGCAACCAGAUGACACAACAUAAUUCAGGGUCUCGACGGAGCCGUCCCAUCCCACACCAGAUCCUGGGGGGGACACGAUAUAGCCGUGGGGCCACAGGGAUCAUUGGGACAAAGGUGAGUGGGGCUUGUGGGAAGACACCGGACAGGAGGGAAGCCCCCUCCCCCAAGGAGAUGAUGGGUCCACUGGGAGUGGGGAGCUAAUGGAAACAGGGUCCCCACCUUUGCCAUAGGAGUUGGGUGCCCCCAGGGGGCCUGGGCGGCGCUGGCGGAAUCGUUGCCGUGGGGUGUCCCCAGGGCUGAAUGACUCAGAGCUUCGCCCCACAGGGAACCGUGAGCUGAGUUUCCGCCGCUGCCCACCUGCCAGGGUCUCAUCCCGUAGGCACAGGGAGCUCUGGGCCCGGCGCAUGGGUGCUGGUGAGGGGAGCCCUGCAAGAGUGAACGAAGGGAGGGGUCAGAGAAGUGCAGCCAGGGCCAGGCCUCAGAGGAGGGCCAGCAGGGGAGGCUGUAGGGGCAGGGCGACGUGGCCACAGAGGCAGGGCGAGGGUCCCGAGUGAGCAUGGUACAGUCACCCUCCAAAGGCUGGGUCCUGUGCUGGCCCUGAUGCUAACUUACUGUGUGACCUUGGGCAAGGCGCUCCCCCUCUCUGGGCCUCAGUUUCCUCAUCUGCUGACUGGGAUAAAUGAUCUCUCACUAAUGUUCCCUGCUGCUCUGAGGUCCCAGGCACUACUGAGGACAGGGGAGGACUGGGUGGGUGGGCACUGCAGGCAGGAGGGAGGUGCUGACCAAGAGGGACCCGGCAGAGGCCCAGGCAGAGGGCACAGAAAGCAACUGGGCAGGUGACAGGGAAGGCAAGACAGAAAGGGAAUGGCCAGAUGCACAGGCAGGGGUCAGGGUGGGGGCAGGGGACAUGGGCUAGGGACCAUCCUGGUCACUUAGCUCCCAGACCCACCUGUCCCAUCUGCCUCCCUGCCCUCGGGGAGCUCCGUCUCCGGGGGGCCCCCCAGGCUCUCGGUGCUGCCAGCCCUAUCGGCCCCCAGGCGUGGCCCCCCAUGGGGGCCCCCCUCCCGCCGGGGCCGCAUCAGCCUCUUCACCUUGUCUGCCAGCCAGCUGCCCUUCCUGGGGGCAAGAGGGCACAAGAGGGGGUAAGGACAGAGAGGAAGGUGGGAGGUGAGGACUGUGUUGGGGAUGGCCAAGGCCAGGCAAACCCUCACAGGGGCCUGCCCUGAGCUGGGGAUGAGAGGGUAGGGCCAAGCCAAGUGGGAGGUGGGAGGACCCUGGCCCAGAGGGCGGGAGGGGCCGCUCACUUAGUCCGGGGCAGGGGCCCAGGCUCUAGCACGCGGUACUGGUCCAUGAUCUUCUCCACCAGCUUCUGCUUCUCUCUGCGCAAGGCGUUCAGCUGGUCCCUGGUAGGACGGGGAGGGGAGAGGUGGGCGUGAGGCUGGGGGCUCAUGGGUGUUGGCAGGUGCACGCUGGUACAACCAAGUUGUUAGCACAUUGAUAUACUCUGGUAUGGGCUGAUAAAUGGCCACUGUCCCUGAGCCCCCAGGCACCCCUGGCAGCCCUCUUUUCUUAGGACCUCCCCAGCCAAAAGGGCCUCCAGGAUCCGCUCCGGCACCCAGCUGCUCACAGGCUACCCUGCCAUCCUGCCACCCCAGGCCACUGCCUGCUCCCGCACAUACCUCACACUGCGUGGUCAGCCGGCAGGCGUUCAGAUCCAGCUGCUGGUUGGACUCACGAAG